rnacentral:misc_RNA from 1 species
UCCGAGUUGACCCCGGCAGUCUCCUAUGAGUUCCCGCCAUUACGCGCUGGCAACAUAGAACGAGGGUUGCGCUCGUUGCGGGACUUAACCCAACAUCUCACGACACGAGCUGACGACAACCAUGCACCACCUGUUCACGAGUGUCCAAAGAGUUGACCAUUUCUGGCCCGUUCUCGUGUAUGUCAAGCCUUGGUAAGGUUCUUCGCGUUGCAUCGAAUUAAUCCGCAUGCUCCGCCGCUUGUGCGGGCCCCCGUCAAUUCCUUUGAGUUUUAGCCUUGCGGCCGUACUCCCCAGGCGGGGAACUUAAUGCGUUAGCUGCGACACAGAACCCGUUGAUAAGGCCCCACACCUAGUGCCCAACGUUUACGGCGUGGACUAC